UGGGAUUUAUCUGUAGCAACUGUAACCAACU
rnacentral:piRNA from 1 species